rnacentral:tRNA from 1 species
AUUUAUCUAAUAUAAUAAGUAUAUUUGACUUCCAAUCAAAAAGUUUGUUCUACAAGAUAAAUA